GACGAACGCUGGCGGCGUGCUUAACACAUGCAAGUCGAACGGAAAGGCCCUGCUUUUGUGGGGUGCUCGAGUGGCGAACGGGUGAGUAACACGUGAGUAACCUGCCCUUGACUUUGGGAUAACUUCAGGAAACUGGGGCUAAUACCGGAUCGGAGCUCCUGCUGCAUGGUGGGGGUUGGAACGUUUCGGCGGUUGGGGAUGGACUCGCGGCUUAUCAGCUUGUUGGUGGGGUAGUGGCUUACCAAGGCUUUGACGGGUAGGCGGCCUGAGAGGGUGACCGGCCACAUUGGGACUGAGAUACGGCCCAGACUCCUACGGGAGGCAGCAGUGGGGAAUAUUGCACAAUGGGCGGAAGCCGGAUGCAGCAACGCCGCGUGCGGGAUGACGGCCUUCGGGUUGUAAACCGCUUUCGCCUGUGACGAAGCGUGAGUGACGGUAAUGGGUAAAGAAGCACCGGCUAACUACGUG
rnacentral:rRNA from 1 species